CAUUAUCUGCGGUAGCAGCUGUAUUCUUAUGGCUGUUAUUGUUGAUUUCCACCCUUGUCUUUUGCGCACCCCCGUUUCCUCGGCUGCUCAGCCAGCCGUUAGGACACUCUAUAACCUUUUGUACUGUAUAAUCAGCGUCUGAAAACAAUAAAUUAUUA
rnacentral:misc_RNA from 1 species